UACGUAGGGUGCGAGCGUUGUCCGGAAUUAUUGGGCGUAAAGAGCUUGUAGGCGGUUUGUCGCGUCUGCUGUGAAAAUCCGGGGCUCAACCCCGGACUUGCAGUGGGUACGGGCAGACUAGAGUGUGGUAGGGGAGACUGGAAUUCCCGGUGUAGCGGUGGAAUGCGCAGAUAUCAGGAGGAACACCGAUGGCGAAGGCAGGUCUCUGGGCCACUACUGACGCUGAGAAGCGAAAGCAUGGGGAGCGAACAGG
rnacentral:rRNA from 1 species